GACGGGGCCCGCACAAGCGGUGGAGCAUGUGGUUAAUUCGACGCAACGCGAAAACCUUACCUGGGCUUGACAUCCCGGGAAUCCCUUGGAACAAGGAGUGCCCUUCGGGAACCUGGAGACAGGUGCUGCAUGGCUGUCGUCAGCUCGUGUCGUGAGAUGUUGGGUUAAGUCCCGCAACGAGCGCAACCCUUGCCAUUAGUUGCUACGAAAGGGCACUCUAAUGGGACUGCCGGUGACAAACCGGAGGAAGGUGGGGAUGACGUCAAGUCCUCAUGGCCCUUAUAGGUGGGGCUACACACGUCAUACAAUGGCCGGUACAGAGGGUAGCCAACCCGCGAGGGGGAGCCAAUCCCACAAAGCCGGUCGUAGUCCGGAUCGCAGUCUGCAACUCGACUGCGUGAAGUCGGAAUCGCUAGUAAUCGCGGAUCAGCAUGUCGCGGUGAAUACGUUCCCGGGUCUU
rnacentral:rRNA from 1 species